rnacentral:rRNA from 1 species
CACGUAGGGCGCAAGCGUUGUCCGGAAUUAUUGGGCGUAAAGAGCUCGUAGGCGGCUUGUCGCGUCGUCCGUGAAAACCCACAGCUCAACUGUGGGCUUGCGGUCGAUACGGGCAGGCUAGAGUUCGGUAGGGGAGACUGGAAUUCCUGGUGUAGCGGUGAAAUGCGCAGAUAUCAGGAGGAACACCGGUGGCGAAGGCGGGUCUCUGGGCCGAAACUGACGCUGAGGUGCGAAAGCUAGGGUAGCAAACGGG